AACGAACGCUGGCGGCAGGCUUAACACAUGCAAGUCGAACGCACCUUUCGGGGUGAGUGGCAGACGGGUGAGUAACGCGUGGGAAUCUACCCUUCUCUACGGGAUAGCUCCGGGAAACUGGAAUUAAUACCGUAUAUGUCCUGAGGGAGAAAGAUUUAUCGGGGAAGGAUGAGCCCGCGUUGGAUUAGCUAGUUGGUGGGGUAAAGGCCUACCAAGGCGACGAUCCAUAGCUGGUCUAAGAGGAUGAUCAGCCACAUUGGGACUGAGACACGGCCCAAACUCCUACGGGAAGCAGCAGUGGGGAAUAUUGGACAAUGGGCGCAAGCCUGAUCCAGCCAUGCCGCGUGAGUGAUGAAGGCCCUAGGGUUGUAAAGCUCUUUCAGUGGGGACGAUAAUGACGGUACCCACAGAAGAAGCCCCGGCUAACUUCGUG
rnacentral:rRNA from 1 species